UUUCCAGCGAGCAGGAUCUCCACGAGGCCAAAUCCCGAAGUUUCGAUUCCUUCACUUUAAUUAAAUCACACUUACUGUAUAUUGUCGGGCUUACUCUGCUGCAACGUAGCAAUAUUCAAAGACUAGAGCAUCCAGGUCCAGUUCUGGCAGAGGCUCCUUCCAAUAGGAGAAGCUGCUGUACUCGGGACAGUCCAAAGCAGAGGACGUGCUGCCCCCGACAGAGAGCAUGGGGAAGAAAUGUUCCACCAACUCACUGAGCACACCCAGCUUGCCAAAGCGGACGUGAAAGGGGGAGCACUGGAACGAUCCAUCAGGCUGCCGCACCACGAUGACAUCGAUCCCUCCGGUGAGAGUGGCGGGGUUCAGGCCGCGGUACAGCUCCUUCACCGUCACAAACACUGUCUCCGCAAACUGGCCCACAAUAUUCAUGGUUUGGGACUGGAAACAAAAAAACAAGAAGUGAGAACAGUUGAGGAACAAAAAGCGUCAACAUUCAGUAUUUUCUGUUUGAUCCUUUUUCCCCAAUGUCAGCAGCACAUGUAAGUAUAAGUAGUAGUAUAAGUACUGUACCAAAACUCUUUGCAGUUGUAAGUUUCAAUGUUAUAUUUUUGUUUCACUUGUGUAUGUACAAAGGCAAUAAAGAUUUGUAUUUUUUUUUAAA